AGCCGAGGCUCCUGGGAGUUGGAGUCCUUUGGCGUUUACCUCAGCGGGGAAGGAGAAGCGGGGCCUAGUGGAAGCCUCGGAAGGGACGCCAUGCUAGAAGGAAAGGAAGGAGGGAGAAAGAAGGGGGCGAAAGAGGAGGGCAAAAAGGACUGCACAUUCCUGAAUCGUUUCUGCAAACACCAGGAGUGCCAAUCUGGAUAUUCUGAGCUCCAGGCAGUUGGAGACUAUAUGGAUCAUCAUCGGAGUCCAGAAGUCUCUGCCUUUCCUGAUGGCUGCUGACACCUAUAAUUAAAACCAUGUAUAACCUGUG